UGCAAGUCGAGCGGAACGAUGUAGCUUGCUACAGGCGUCGAGCGGCGGAGGGGCGAGUAACGCGUAGGAACCUACCUAGUAGUUUGGGAUAGCCAUUGGAAACGAUGAUUAAUACCGGAUACGCCCCACGGGGGAAAGCAGAGGAUCUUCGGACUUUGCGCUAUUAGAUGGGCCUGCGUGAGAUUAGAUAGUUGGUGAGGUAAUGGCUCACCAAGUCAGCGAUCUCUAGCUGGUCUGAGAGGAUGAUCAGCCACACUGGAACUGAGACACGGUCCAGACUCCUACGGGAGGCAGCAGUGGGGAAUAUUGCACAAUGGGCGCAAGCCUGAUGCAGCCAUGCCGCGUGUGUGAAGAAGGCUCUAGGGUUGUAAAGCACUUUCAGUCGGGAGGAAAGGUUAUCAGUUAAUACCUGGUAGCUGUGACGUUACCGACAGAAGAAGCACCGGCUAACUCCGUGCCAGCAGCCGCGGUAAUACGGAGGGUGCAAGCGUCAAUCGGAAUUACUGGGCGUAAAGCGUACGUAGGUGGUUUGUU
rnacentral:rRNA from 1 species